GGUAGUGCACUACUUCUGAGUCCCUAUGGGGGUAGUGCACUACUUCUGAGUCCCUAUGGGGGUAGUGCACUACUUCUGAGUCCCUAUGGGGGGUAGUGCACUACGGUGAAAAGGAUGCAUCUAUAUUGGGAAUAGGUACAUAAGAGCCAUGAGUGAGGAGGUGGUACCGUUUAAACAAAAUGUCUUUUAAAGGCCCCUAUUCCUUUAUAGUGCAUACCCCUAGGGACUCUGGUCAAAAGUAGUGCACUAUGUAGAAUAGGGUGCCAAGUGCCAUAAAUAAGGAGAUACUUGGCCUGCCUCCCCAAUGGCUCCCUAUGGGGCCCACUGUAAAGGGAAUAUAAUGCCAGUGUAGCCCACGUAUCAUAGCAAACAGGAUGGAUGCCAGUGUAGCCCACAGUUUCAUAGCAACAGGAAGGAUGCCAGCGUAGCCCACAGUUUCAUAGCAACAGGAAGGAUGCCCGCGUAGCCCGCAGUUCAUAGCAACGGCAGCCAUCUGUGAGCCAGACAAACCAUGUCUUAAGUGUGUGUGUCUCAAAAGGCUCACUAUUCCCUAUAUUAUAGUGAAUACUUUGAACAGGGUCCGUAGAAAAGCCCCAUAGAGCUCUGGUCACACAGCAGGCACUAUAUAGGGAAUGGGUUAACAUUGGAGACGCAGACCAAGUUCUGUAUAAUUGGAUGGUUUCUCCUAAUGUCUUAUUAAAGUGGUAGUUUAAGCAAUAGCAGCGGGGGUUGGUAUAUGCCAAAGGCCAGAGGGGGGUGGUAUAUGGCAAUAAGGCCAGAGGGGUGUGGUAUAUGGCCAAUAAGGCCAGAGGGGGUGUGGUCUAUGGCCAAUAAGGCCAGAGGGGGUGUGGUAUUAUGGCCAAUAAGGCCAGAGGGGGUGUGGUAUAUGGCCAAUAAGGCCAGAGGGGGUGGGAUAUGCGCCAUAUACCACGGGCCAGUGGUUAGAGCGUUGGGACAGAAACCGAAAGGUUGCGAAGAUCAAAUCCCCGAGCGUCGUUCUGAACAGGCAGUUAAACCCACUGUUCCUAGGCCGUCAUUGUAAAUAAGAAUUUGUUUCUUAUUAUUAACUGACUGACCUCGAAAUAAAAGGUUAAAAAACAAAAUAAACACCCACAAACCCCC
rnacentral:lncRNA from 1 species